CCUACGGGCGGCAGCAGUGGGGAAUAUUGCACAAUGGGCGCAAGCCUGAUGCAGCCAUGCCGCGUGUGUGAAGAAGGCCUUCGGGUUGUAAAGCACUUUCAGCGGGGAGGAAGGCGGUGAGGUUAAUAACCUCAUCGAUUGACGUUACCCGCAGAAGAAGCACCGGCUAACUCCGUGCCAGCAGCCGCGGUAAUACGGAGGGUGCAAGCGUUAAUCGGAAUUACUGGGCGUAAAGCGCACGCAAGCGGUCUGUCAAGUCGGAUGUGAAAUCCCCGGGCUCAACCUGGGAACUGCAUUCGAAACUGGCAGGCUAGAGUCUUGUAGAGGGGGGUAGAAUUCCAGGUGUAGCGGUGAAAUGCGUAGAGAUCUGGAGGAAUACCGGUGGCGAAGGCGGCCCCCUGGACAAAGACUGACGCUCAGGUGCGAAAGCGUGGGGAGCAAACAGGAUUAGAUACCCCUGUAGUC
rnacentral:rRNA from 1 species